UACGUAGGGGGCGAGCGUUGUCCGGAUUUAUUGGGCGUAAAGAGCUCGUAGGCGGUUCGAUAAGUCGGACGUGAAAUCUCCACGCUCAACGUGGAGGGGCCGUUCGAUACUGUCGUGACUCGAGUCCGGUAGGGGAGUGUGGAAUUCCCGGUGUAGCGGUGAAAUGCGCAGAGAUCGGGAGGAAUACCCGUAGCGAAGGCGGCACUCUGGGCCGGUACUGACGCUGAGGCGCGAAAGCGUGGGGAGCAAACAGG
rnacentral:rRNA from 1 species